CGAACUCAACGAUCGUAAAGACACAACUGAACGUUUAACACAAUGUAAUAUUACGGAUCGAAAAUAUAGAAAAAGCGUCUGCUGCUGUUGUGUACUCUGCUGAAUAGUGAAUAUACGUCGUAUAAUAAUGGCUACAGUAUAAAAAAAAUGGAGUUUGAAUGAUUUAUAUUUGGAAGACAUUUUGUUUAUUCGGGGGGAUAAACGUGUCAUUCUAUCGAAGGGUAUAAGAAUAAUUAUUUAUUAUUAAGAACGAAAACGGCCAUAAAUUAGUUGUUAUUGAUGGAAGGACAAGAAUUUUUAUGGAUGGUAGGAAACUAAUAACAUCAUAUUACAAGAAUGAAUGUGAUAUCCUUUUUAUUGAAAAACGUGACGGGAUCAUCCAUCCCGCGUCUUCUCCUUGUUGCACAAAGUACACUUGUAGUUCGUCAACACAAAAGCCAGCUAGGAGGAUUUUUCUCUAAUGGGAGCUUGAUUCACGGCCUUAAACCCCUUUCACAAUAUAUUCCACCGUGUAUUUUGUUGUCAGCUGCCUAUAUUUCUGCUUAUUACCUCCUAAUAAGCGUUGCUCUCAACGCUGAUUGGUUGAACUAACAUUAUUAAUUGUUAUUAUUGAAUUUAUUAUUAAAUUGCCUGACUACCAAUAGAUUGUGUGCCUUUGUCUUUUCGAAGGAGAGGUUGUGUGAUACAAUAAAAGUAGCGACGUGAAUAACGUUCCUAUUUGGACUCUAA
rnacentral:lncRNA from 1 species